rnacentral:rRNA from 1 species
UACGUAGGGGGCAAGCGUUGUCCGGAAUCAUUGGGCGUAAAGCGCGCGUAGGCGGCCCGGUAAGUCCGUUGUAAAAGUCAAAGGCUCAACCUUUGAAAGCCGAUGGAUACUGCCGGGCUAGAAUCCGGAAGAGGCGAGUGGAAUUCCUGGUGUAGCGGUGAAAUGCGCAGAUAUCAGGAGGAACACCAAUGGCGAAGGCAGCUCGCUGGGACGGUACUGACGCUGAGACGCGAAAGCGUGGGGAGCAAACAGG